AGGGAAGGGAGAACCAGAACCACAUUUCAAUGAAGGUAUAAAAUUAUCCAGAAUUAUCAACGGAGCAGAAACCAGAUCACAUCUGAGCAACAGAUCAUUUGGCAGAGAAAUAUAAAUUACGAGUUUUAGCACAAUUUUGUGCAUAUCUACACACAGGUAAGUCUCACUAAGUUUAACAGGGUUUAUUCUGUGGCAAGUGAGUCCAAAGAAUUGGAGCCUUAAAAAUGUCAUCUGAUUGGGUUGGUGGGGAAGGAAUUUUUCCCACUCUCACUUCUUACC
rnacentral:lncRNA from 1 species